GCCUUUUCACUUAAAAAUAAACAGUAAUGCAUAAUCUUGUCUACAAGGCAUCGCAGUCAUAAGAAUGCUCUUGGUCAUGUUGCAUGGGCCUUCCCUCCCUAGCUGUCAUGACAUGGAUCCUUGCUACUGCUGCAGCAGUAGUGAGAAGCUACCUCAUUGUAACUGAAGCCUUUAGGACAAGGAAUGACAGAUAUAAUUCCCUUGUCUGUGGAUGGGUUGUCAGAUGGUGUUAACAGGAGCCAAGCACAGGCAUUCAGCAACAGAUCUGGAUCUUGAGAUGUAGACGUGUUCCCUGACUUGCAUACAGUUGCACAAAAAUACCCACAGAUGCCUCCUCUUGAUCCAUGUAGUUCCCCAGCUGCUACUGUCAUGGUGAUGCUGUCAGCCUGGCAGCUCUCAUCAGCUGGGCGUGCUGGCUGCUCCAGUUAUCCCUGACUGGAAGGGCCAGUGUGCUCUGCUGCACCAUUUCAAGCCCUCGUAGAAGGCAGAAUGCCUUUCCCUUAGGGUUGAUGUGCUGCCAGGUCCAGAGUACUAUCUGAGUCAAGAAAGGGAAAAGAAGUUAAUAACAAUGCAGUGUGUUUAGAUACAGGAAGAGAGAUUUGAACAUUAAGAAUGAUUACGGAGAUGUGCCAUGAAAAGACAAGAUCAAGCACGUGGAAUAUCAGAUUCUUAGCUUUUGUCAUCGCUGGAAGGUUUUUUAAGAGAAUGAAAAUCCACAGAAUUGUAAAGGAUGAGGAAAUCUCAGCCAUUGAGAGAGGCUGAGUAAAGCAAAGCCCUGAACAGAUUUGAGGAAAAGCAGUUAACCCAGAGCUCCUAGUACAACAUUGUGUGAUCUCUAUUGCUAAUAUGUUGUCAGGAUCACAAAGGAAACAGGACUGCAAUUUUCACCUUUUUACCUGGCAAUGAUGAGACUGGUACAAGAACAUUUUUUCUGUUUUAAUUUAUCAAAAAAUAUACUGAAAGGUUUGUACAAAAGGUAGAAAAGAAUCACAAAAUCGAAUUCUUUAACUCUCCUUUAGCAAUGUAUUUCUCAAAUCCUUGAUUCAGCAUGAUUAAUUUAUCAAAAGUUAAUAUGUGUGACUGGUUACAGGUCUCCACAGACAGACAAUACUUAAUAAUGGCUUUUAAAAUUCCUUUUGCUGUAUCAUUAGGAUCAAUGGCUGGAAACAGAAGCCAGACAUGUUCAAAUGGGAAGUCGGGCACACACAAAACAAGAAAAGUGAUUAAUGCUCCCAAAUAAACUGCUGCUGCUGCUGGGGUGGGCAUCUCUGUCUCUGGAUGCCUUAAAGUUGCAAUUGUAUGCCUUUCAGGAAGAAAAAUCUGUGGCUGGCCGAAACCUAGGUGGUGCCAUAUAGGGAUAUUUCAGUACAAUUAUAAGGGCACUUGGAUUAAAUGAUGUAAUUGUCUCUUCUGCCUUUAAGCUGUGUGAGUCACAGUGUUACUGUUUGAAGAUUGCUUCUCUUCUAUGUCUUAAUUAGCCAAUUUAUUUUAAAACAGAAAUAUGCUGACCUCAUUUAGGUGCUGUGAUGCUUAAUUGCCCAUUAUAAAGUACUUUAAGUUCCCUGGAUAAAUGGAUCCAAAGAAAUGCAGGGUGCUUGCAUGCUUACCAAAAAAAAAAAAAAAAAAAAAA